rnacentral:lncRNA from 1 species
CAUAUUACAAGCACAUGCACGUCAAUCGAUCAACUGGUUUUCAACUCUUGAAUUGGUUCCAAGCCUCCUUGAUUCGAUCCUUGACCAACUCUUGAUCCAAUCGCCAUCAACCGCUUAGACCCCUGUUCAUCUCAUGCCUUGUCUUCAACUUGAUCGUUGACGUACAUCACAUCACAGAAAUACAACCAGAUAUAAAAUAAAGAUAAUAAUAAAUUACAUCU